GAAUGUGAGGGCAAUCUGGCUGAGACGUCUGUCACCCCAUUGAUCAUCAGGGUUGAUUCAGCUGAUCUGGCUGGCUAGGCGGGUGUCCCUUUCCUCCCACCCUGCUCAUGUGCGUCCCUCCCAGAAGCUGCGCACUCAGUUCAAGAGGACAACGGCCCUUCCCCGAGUAGAAAUGGACCCGUCUUUGAUUGAGGGUAUACGAGUAGCUGCACUCCCUGCUAGAACCUCCAAACAAGCAAUGUACCAGUACAUUUUAAUAUAUAAAUUACUUAGCUGUGUUCCUCUAUAAUAGAUGCAUAGUAAAUAGGGUUUAUAAAU
rnacentral:snRNA from 1 species